UAAUUUAAAACAAAAGGAUCCAGAAAAACAAGAUCUGAAAAAUACAAAAUUGUUAUUCAAUCUUCAUCUUCUUCCCCUUUCCAACCGUGAGACGCAAUCACGACGGCUGCGGUGGCUAGAGGCGACAAGCGGCGGUGAGAGACAACAAAUGAAAGAGGACCACCACUUUUCAGAUAUCUAUUACAUGUCAUGAAUGUGACAACUCCAAGCAAGGACUUCCUAGAACUUAUGAGAGAGUUGCUUGAACUCUUAAUAAAGGCCAGAAGUCGGAGGAGUUUGACCAGGCAAGAGAUAUAUUGAAAAUAGCACAACCAUCAUUACUGUUUGCUGCAAAAAGCCUAGAUGAUGACGAAUGGUAUGCAAGAAAGAUUGGAGAAGAAGUCAAAAAAAGUUAUGUGAAGUUGAAGAAUGUGAGAGUGGAAAGAGGUUGGAAGAGGUUGUAGUGUGUUAUUAUUUUGCUAAAGUUAAAGAAGAAUGACCAUUGGUUUAUUGAAUUCUUUUGAUUUCUUGGUUUAAUAGUUGUAGUGUUAUUAUUUGAAUGUCACAUCUGUUUUUUGUUUAGUGAAGUGUUAACCACA